CUCGCUCUGUUGUUCAGAGUUAUUAAUAAAGAGUUAAGUUAAAGAAAAUCUCCAGAAGUAUCUUCGUUUAGUUGUACCUUUGUGUUUCCUUCGCUUCAUCGUAUUUAAUAAUUCAAGCUUUCAGUGCAUCGCAGUUUUGCGAUAUUUUCUAUGAAUUUUAUAUAAGGGACACAUUAUGUCUAAGUCAACUGGUAUCGUUAAGUGGUUCAACGAAGAGAAAGGUUUUGGUUUCAUUACUCAAGACAACGGCGGUGCUGACGUAUUCGUUCACUUCCGUGCUAUCGCUUCUGAAGGUUUCAAAACUCUUGCUGAAGGCCAAAAAGUGUCUUUUGAAGUAGAGCAAGGCCAAAAAGGUCUUCAAGCUGCAAACGUUGUAGCUCUUUAAUUUUAUAGUUUCUAUAAGAUUUCUAAGUGGUGUAACUUGUUACACCACUUAAUC
rnacentral:sRNA from 1 species